CAGCGAGUAAACCUCUCCUUAUUUCACAGUUCUCCUUUUCACGUUUCUGCCGGGUUUUUGUCUGGUGCCCUGCGCUUUCAGCUUUAGUUUUGAUUCAGCAAGUGGCAUUCACCCAUCUCAGCAUUAUUGCAUUCUCAAGAUUCCUCAGAAAUGAGAUGGUUUAAGAGAUUUCGGAGGAACAGUCAAAACCAAGUGGACGAGGAAAGAAAAAGUCUUACCAAUGAAGAACAUUCAGAGCAUGUGCGUCCUUGGAGGGAGAAAUUAGGAAUGUCGGAAGCCUGUCAGAAGCCCAUCAGUUGCUCAGAGCCAAAAAAUUCAAAUACAUGGAUUGGUGUCCUCCAGGAGUUUAUGCAAGGCAGCACCCAGGAUUCCCUGUCUGUUGCAGCCCUGCUGACAUACUAUGGGCGUCCAUGUGACUCCAAGUUCCAGGAAGCCUGGCUUCAUAUUGUGCAGACACACAUCACGCGGCACUUCCCCUCAUUCCCACCAGAGAGCGCUAUCAAACAACACCCCGAGCAGCUCAGAAAUCAUCUGCUGCAGGUUCAAGAAGUGGUGCUGAGGGAACUGGGCCGACUGUCCCCUGUACUACGGGAAGUGAAGCUACUGGACUCUUUGAUUGACCAGUACCACCGGCAAAUCUUCAACCACCUGGACCUGGUGUUGCAGACCAAACGCACACAUGAACAGGCCUACUGGACAGUGGACUGGGUCUUUCGGAUGUAUGUGAGAGUUGGCAUUACAGGACUCAGGGAAGUCCCAGAGUUCUACGCGGCUAUUGACCCCAUGCAGCUCACUCACUACAUUCAGUGGGCAGUGGAGAAGCUGUUGUCCACAGUGAAGGAUGAGAUUGCUGCUUUACUCAGUAGAAUUCUGGAGAACGAUGCAAUAGAGCAAGCAGACUACGAUAAUGAGGAAGCCUUCAUCCAGUUUCAUUUGGAUGUCAUUCAGGUAGAUACAAAACUAUAAAUAGAAGGAUUUUUUUAAUGAAU
rnacentral:lncRNA from 1 species